UGGGGAAUAUUGGACAAUGGGCGAAAGCCUGAUCCAGCCAUGCCGCGUGUGUGAAGAAGGUCUUCGGAUUGUAAAGCACUUUAAGUUGGGAGGAAGGGCAGUAAGCGAAUACCUUGCUGUUUUGACGUUACCGACAGAAUAAGCACCGGCUAACUCUGUGCCAGCAGCCGCGGUAAUACAGAGGGUGCAAGCGUUAAUCGGAAUUACUGGGCGUAAAGCGCGCGUAGGUGGUUCGUUAAGUUGAAUGUGAAAGCCCCGGGCUCAACCUGGGAACUGCAUCGGAAACUGGCUAGCUAGAGUAGGGCAGAGGGUGGUGGAAUUUCAUGUGUAGCGGUGAAAUGCGUAGAUAUAGGAAGGAACACCAGUAGCGAAGGCGACCACCUGGGCUCAUACUAACACUGAGGUGCGAAAGCGUGGGGAGCAAACAGG
rnacentral:rRNA from 1 species